rnacentral:rRNA from 1 species
GGGUCAGUUGGUUGGUCGUGCCACCGGUACGUACUGGUCUCACUGAUUCCUCCUUCCUGAAGAACCGUAAUGCCAUUAAUUUGGUGUUGCGGGGGAAACAGGACUGUUACUUUGAAAAAAUUAGAGUGUUUAAAGCAAGCUAACGCUUGAAUACAUUAGCAUGGAAUAAUGAAAUAGGACGAUCGAUCCUAUUUUGUUGGUUUCUAGGAUUGACGUA